AAAACAGGCCUUUUGGCUAAGAUCGAGUAGUAUGUUCUUAUCAGUUUAAUAUCUGAUAUGUCCUCUAUCUGAGGACUUUAUAGUAAAUGUAUUUUUGGAGCAGGAGAUGGAAUAGGAGCUUGCUCCGUCCACUCCACGCAUUGACCUGGUAUUGCAGUACCUCUGGGAAUGGUGCAAAAACA
rnacentral:snRNA from 1 species